GACGAACGCUGGCGGCGUGCCUAAUACAUGCAAGUCGAACGAACCGCGACUAGGUGCUUGCACUUGGUCAAGGUGAGUGGCGAACGGGUGAGUAACACGUGGGUAACCUACCUCAUAGUGGGGGAUAACAGUCGGAAACGACUGCUAAUACCGCAUAGGACAUAGGAUCACAUGAUUCUGUGAGGAAAGGUGGCGCAAGCUAUCGCUAAGAGAUGGACCCGCGGUGCAUUAGCUAGUUGGUAGGGUAAAGGCCUACCAAGGCGAUGAUGCAUAGCCGACCUGAGAGGGUGAUCGGCCACAUUGGGACUGGGACACGGCCCAAACUCCUACGGGAGGCAGCAGUAGGGAAUCUUCCGCAAUGGACGCAAGUCUGACGGAGCAACGCCGCGUGAGUGAAGAAGGUCUUCGGAUCGUAAAGCUCUGUUGUUAGAGAAGAACAGCGCAUAGAGUAACUGUUAUGCGUGUGACGGUAUCUAACCAGAAAGCCACGGCUAACUACGUG
rnacentral:rRNA from 1 species